rnacentral:lncRNA from 1 species
ACAAUCGAAACGAAUAUCGAAAAGCUCAAUCUUUAACCAUCUAAGCAUAGACGGCAUAACUCACCUCUUGUGUAACAUACCGGAUUUUAAAUAUAAAAGAGAAAAAUAAAUAAAAAUAGUAUGAGAUACUAUUUUAUUGGAUUUAGAGAAGUGUAAUAUCGGUUGGGAACGACCUGUGCUGAAAUCGGAGUGAAAAUAGAAGAUUUAGAAUUUUUUAUUGAAAACGGGAUUGAUAAAUUAGCAGAAAAUGCACAGUCUCAGAAAAUUAUGAAAAUUAGCGGGGAUGUCAGAAAUAUUUUUAUGAGGCUAGAUUUAAAGUUUCAUAUUUUUCUGAUACCCGUAGAGUGAGAAAUAAAAUCCGAAAGCUAUCUGAUAAAGAUUGCAGUUCGGCACAGUUUUCGGUGACCAAACGGAGUCGAAACUGAAAACUUAAGAUAUAUUCUUGCUCAGUACGUUAAACUGAGUCUGCCUGCCAAAUUUGAGCGAAAACGGAUAUCCAGAAGGGCUCCGACGAAAAAUAAACUACCCGAAGUGAAUAGUGCAUAGUUGAGGGGCAAAAUGGUAAAAAGGGAUUAAAUCCCUUUUCCUCCUUCCUUCUUCAACCGAGGCUGCCCCAACCCGUGCACACCCACGACACACACCCACACAUGCAUGGAAGGCGAAGAGAAAACCCUCUCUUUCUCUCUCUAAAUCUUCUAUUUUCACUCCGAUCUAGCCUCAUAAAAAUAUUUCUGACAUCCCCGCUAAUUUUCAUAAUUUUCUGAGACUGUGCAUUUUCUGCUAAUUUAUCAGUCCCGUUUUCAAUAAAAAAUUCUAAAUCUUCUAUUUUCACUCCGAUUUCAGCACAGGUCGUUCCCAACCGAUAUUACACUUCUCUAAAUCCAAUAAAAUAGUAUCUCAUACUAUUUUUAUUUAUUUUUCUCUUUUAUAUUUAAAAUCCGGUAUGUUACAUCUUGUGAUGAAAUCCCUUCUCAAGCUUCCAAAGAGAGCAAGAACCCUUCCAACCCAACCUGUAGGAAGGUUCUAAACCCAUCAAAUAGGUCCCAAAGCCCUCAAAUCAAAAAUCUCCAAAAUAAACCCUAAAUCCUAUUUCUAGGGUUUCAUCUCCCAAAAUCCACCAAAAAUAGAUCUAAAGGGGAGAAACAAACAACUAAUCUUCUUAGUAGCUCCAAACCAAGAUCAAAGUGCUCUAGUGUCACGCCCCGCCCCGAAACCACUACCAAUUUGGCACAGUUCGGCCGCGGCGGCGGGCCGACGAACGGACAGCACCUCCCCUGUCCGCCCAACGCUCAAUAACAAGAAUGUGUACAAAAAUUUACUCAGGAAAUUAAAUUCUAAGCAUACACAUUCACAAGGACACAAACAGUGCCAACAAUACAAAGAGCAAGUAAUCCACAAGAUAAAACAAGUGAAAUAAAGAGAGCACUUUGCUACUAUUAUAAUAGUUCCAUCAUUUUCAUUUACAUCAUUUUCUUUAAAUGAAUACAUUUGUCAUCCAAAAUACAUAGCUCUCCAAAUCCUCACCUACAAUGACUCUCUCUCUCUAUACAUAGGUGACUAAUGCAAAAAGGAAAGCUACUAUACUACCACGGUCU